GUAGGGAAUAUUGCACAAUGGGCGAAAGCCUGAUGCAGCAACGCCGCGUGCGCGAAGAAGGCCUUCGGGUCGUAAAGCGCUUUUCGGGGAGAUGAGGAAGGACAGUAUCCCCGGAAUAAGGCUCGGCUAACUACGUGCCAGCAGCCGCGGUAACACGUAGGAGCCUAGCGUUAUCCGAAUUCACUGGGCGUAAAGCGCGUGCAGGCGGCUCGGUAAGUUGGAUGUGAAAGCUCCUGGCUCAACUGGGAGAGGACGUUCAAUACUGUCGGGCUAGAGGGCGAGAGAGGGAGGUGGAAUUCCCGGUGUAGUGGUGAAAUGCGUAGAUAUCGGGAGGAACACCAGAGGCGAAGGCGGCCUCCUGGCUCGUACCUGACGCUCAGACGCGACAGCUAGGGGAGCAAACGGGAUUAGAAACCCGAGUAGUCC
rnacentral:rRNA from 1 species